rnacentral:rRNA from 1 species
AGUACGUGAAACUGCUUAGAGGUUAAACCCGAUGAACCUGAAUAUCCAUUAUGAAAAAUUCAAUGCUUAUAUUGCGAUAUAUAACAAUAUUGUAAAAAAAGUGUGCAAUUUUUUCAUAUAAGGACAUUGUAAUCUGUUAAUGUAAUAAAAAUUUAUCAAAAGAUCUUUUACUUAAGUUUAUUCAAAUUGUUUAUCUUCGGAUUUUCAACAUAAAAUAAAUGUAUUAGAUUUGAUAAAUCAUUGACAGAUAUAAUUAUAUAUUAUGCUUAAAUUCUUUCGAGAAUUUUACAAUGGUAGAUGGAUCUUAUGAUUUAUUUAUUUAAUUGUAUGCAUAAUUAUGAUUGACAAUGCGAUAGAUUCAGGAUACCUUCGGGACCCGUCUUGAAACACGGACCAAGGAGUCUAACAUAUGUGCAAGUCAUUGGGUAUUUUUAAUAAAACCCAAUGGCGUAAUUAACUUAACUGUUAUUAAUUUAAUGGGAUUAAUUUAUAAUUUUUUAAUAAAUUAUUUAUUCAAUCCCGGGGCGUUCUAUACAGUUAUGCAUAAUGAUAUUUAUAUUAUUUAUGCCUCUAACUAGAGCGUACCUUGAGC